AGGGAACAAAGCAAAGGGAGAGUCUUGGUGAGACAACGUGUAGGGAGAACUGACAGCCAGCCAAAAGCCCCAUCCAGCUACAAGAAGUUUGUAAGCAGAAUUAUUUUCUUAGCACGUCAUCAUGCUUCCUGCAGAAGCUUGGGCAGUCAGACAGGUUUUCCAUCCUGGUAGGCUAGAAAACAUGGGGUGAUUAUUUAGACAAGAUGGUGAAUAUUACUUGAUGAUUGCCUUGAAGAGAGGGCUGCUGACAGGGGAGAGGGGAGAAAAAGUCUGGAGGCAUGAAAAAGGGAACACUUGAGCCAGAUCAGUACUGGGUAUUUGAAGUCAGAUUCCUGUCUUUUUCCUAUGCCCGCUAAUUCUAAGUCCAAACUAGAGCAGGUUUGCCUACUUUUACAGCUGGAUCUGGGAGGUGUGUAAGUGCAUGUCUCAGGUUCAGCAGAAAGCAGGAAUUUUCCUGCGGUGAGCACAGUCUAACUGCAAGACUGGCUUUGUCCUGGCUCCAGCUCUCCAAGCCUUGAUUCUAUCUGGUGGUACUUCUACACUGAGGAGUAUGUAGAAUUAAAAAGUUAGAGAGUCGUUUUGAAGGUAAUUAGCACAAGAGAGGAGAGACCUGCUACUUGUUUCUGACAUACAGGUCCCACUAUCAGUUCUCUUAUGGAAAAAACAAAAACAAAAACAAAAAACCUCCAGAUGUUGCCUACAGACCCAAGCAGAUUUGUUGAAAUUAUUUCAGGUAGGCUGUGAAACCACACAGACAAAUAUCCAUCACUGGAAAACACUGGAAAACUGAUCUACAGACAAGCUUGGUUCUGACGGACUCUAUUGUGCCCCGCACCAGACUCCAGAACAUCUGUGUCAUGGGAUGACACCUCUCUGCUGGGGAAGUCUGUUCAAAUUUCUGUUCAGAUCCUCAGAUGCUGCUCCAAGAGAGAUGGCAGUGCAAAUGUAUGUUGUGAACUUGUUCCAAGUCGUACAGAUGUGAACAUUUCUCCAUGAAACCAGAGCUGGAUGCUGAAAUGUCCUGGGCAGACUGUGCAGUAACAUAACCUGUAACAUACAUACUAGAUGAAUUCCUGUAUACAAAACCCAGGCAGUGCAGAGCUGGGAGUAGCAGUUGAUUCACUGGAGGGCCAUGCUGCCAUUCAGAAAGACCUCGACAGGCUGGAGAAAUGAGCCCACAGGAACCUCCGUCAGCUCAACAAAAGGAAAUGCCAAAUCCUAAACCAGGGGAGGAACAAACCCAGGCACUACUACAGGAUGGGGAACCCCCAGCGGGAAGACAGCUGGAAGAGGAAAGACCUUAGGAUCUUGGUGGAUGCCAAGUUGAACAGGAGCCAGCAGUGUGCCUUUGUGGCACAUCCUCAGCAUUAGAGGAAUUGUUGCCAGCAGGUGGAGGGAGAUGAUCCUCUUUCCACUCAGCUCUGGUGAGAUGCAGCUGGGCUCCCAGUACAGGAGGCACAUGGACACUCUGAAAUGUGCCAAAUGAAGGAUCAAGAGCAGCAUGAAGAUUGGAUCAUUUAGCUUAUGAGAAGAGGCUGAGAGAGCUGGAGUUAUUUAGACUGGAGUAGGGAAGGCUGGAGUUAGUGGAGGACUUAUCAAUGGGC
rnacentral:lncRNA from 1 species